rnacentral:rRNA from 1 species
CAGCAGCCGCGGUAAUACGAAGGGUGCAAGCGUUACUCGGAAUUACUGGGCGUAAAGCGUGCGUAGGUGGUGGUUUAAGUACGUUGUGAAAGCCCUGGGCUCAACCUGGGAAUUGCAGUGGAUACUGGGUCACUAGAGUGUGGUAGAGGAUAGUGGAAUUUCCGGUGUAGCAGUGAAAUGCGUAGAGAUCGGAAGGAACAUCUGUGGCGAAGGCGACUAUCUGGGCCAACACUGACACUGAGGCACGAAAGCGUGGGGAGCAAACAGGAUUAGAUACCCCUGUAGUCCCUGUCUCUUAUAC